GUUCCAAAAGUUAUUAGAGUACUAGAUUGAGUGAGCAGGAAGGUGGAAGAAGUUGGUUAAAGAAUGGGAAGCUCAAACUUGGAUCAUGAAAGGUUUUCAGAUAUUGGAAAUGUCAAAGACUGGAGUAUAACCAUGUUGCAAUAAAAAUAAUUGACAAAACUCAGUUGAAUCCAACAAGUCUACAAAAGUAGAGACGGGGUUUCACUAUGUUAUCCAGGAUGGUCUCGAUCUCCUGACCUCGUGAUCCACCCAUCUUGGCUUCCCAAAGUGCUGGAAUUACAGCUCUUCAGAGAAGUAAGAAUAAUGAAGAUUUUAAAUCAUCCCAAUAUAGUGAAGUUAUUCGAAGUCAUUGAAACUGAAAAAACACUCUACCUAAUCAUGGAAUAUGCAAGUGGAGGUGAAGUAUUUGACUAUUUGGUUGCACAUGGCAGG
rnacentral:sRNA from 1 species